GAGUGGUUCAGCAAGGACCUGUUCAGGUGGCGGACUGUGGAGCACUACGCACUUCGUGCGCGCGGCAACCUGGAGCUGCUCGACGAGCUGAACGUGUUUGGCAAGACGAGCCAGAUGGCCCGCAUCUUUGGCAUUCAGUUCUAUGAGGUGCUGAGCCGAGGAUCGCAGUUCCGGGUGGA
rnacentral:lncRNA from 1 species